UCUAAAAGGGGGAGCUGUUAGAGUUUAAGAAGCACACCCUGCAUUGUGCUCUUCUUCCUAGUUUAAAACUCCCAGGACAAGGCAGUCACCCUCCUUUAAGGAGCAACACCCACUGCCAUUGUUCAUGGGUUGCUGCAGUCUCUCUCCAGUAGCUCUGAAUAGGUAUCACAUCUACAUCAACCUUUUACAAUUCAGGAGCCAUUAGCAACCUAAUUUUUUGGGUUUGUAGCUAACUGUUUCUUGAGCUUGUCUUUCUUUUUCAGAUUACAAAAGUAUCAAGAUUAUGUAGAAGGUGCCAGUCCUGGCGUGACAUCAAAACUUUCAGUAUUGAAUGACCACAAAUGCUGGUUCCAGGUGAAGGGGAAAACUGCUGGUGUUAGCACAGCUAAUCCAACUGGGAAUACUUUUUUUUGGAGCCAAAUACUUCUCUGAGUAACCUCUUUAGUCCUUCAAGGUUGGUUCUGAAGAUAUUCUCUGAACUAAUUGCAGUGUAAAUAUGAUGGCAGAUAGCAAUUCACCAGGAAAGGUUUACUCACUGCUACCAGAUGUGCGUCCCAACUCUUUCAUGAUCCACUGAAAAGAUUACAACCGAUCCGUCAGAGCACCUCUACCAGCCUGAAUAGGCAGACUCCAGCCUGAUAGUUCCCAUUACAACAAGAAGGGAGGGAAUAAGCAGACACAAAGCACUGACUGUCUCUGCUCUAGGUUUCUUUCUUGGUAUCAUCAGCCUGUUUCUUUACCAGGUUAAUAGUUUUCCUCUUGAGUCCUCACAUCUACCCAGACCAUUCCCAGCUUGUACUUUGGAGAGACUGUAAACAGCAUCAAAUACCAGUAAAAAUACUUAUUGUUUCCUUUAUUCUACUAUUCAAACCUGCUUCCAUGGGUUUUUUAGGACCGGCCAAAUGUAUGUAUUGGAAAGAACUGUGGGUAUUAAACAACUCCAAGGAUUGUUUCCUCUCCCUUUUUCUGUUUGUAUAAAUUAGUGUG